rnacentral:rRNA from 1 species
UACGAAGGGGACUAGCGUUGUUCGGAAUCACUGGGCGUAAAGCGCACGUAGGCGGAUGUGUCAGUCAGGGGUGAAAUCCCGGGGCUCAACCUCGGAACUGCCUUUGAUACAGCACGUCUCGAGUCCGGAAGAGGUGGGUGGAAUUCCUAGUGUAGAGGUGAAAUUCGUAGAUAUUAGGAAGAACACCGGUGGCGAAGGCGGCGACCUGGGUAGAUACUGACGCUGAGGCGCGAAAGCGUGGGGAGCAAACAGGG